GGGGCCGCCAUGGUUUCGACGGGGGUUGCAAAGCGGAUGAGGGCAUGCCGGGAUCGCAGAUUUCCCGUUAAACGCUGUAUUCAUUUAGUCGCAAACGACGAAACUUACGCUCUGGCCGCUUAAUUGCCGCCAGACUCUGCACUCACUUGCUGAUGGGUGAGGCGGGGCAACCCGCAGCAGAGUCAUUCACAUCAGAUCGCAUCGGCCCGGGCUACUUGGGCUGGUGUUAAAUCCAAGGUGGCUCGCUGGUAGCAAGCCCGUCGGUUGGCGUGCUGCCGGUUAAAGCAGUCAAAUCAGCCUGACUAAGCAUGUAGAACUCUUCGUGGAGGGCUUUCGGACGCGGGUUCGACUCCCGCCGGCUCCACCA
rnacentral:tmRNA from 1 species